CACUUCAGUGCAGUGGCGCAGAGGCUGGGCGUCUACACUGCUAAAGAUUAUGCUGACAUCCUUGAGUUCUUGGUCCAGAGGUGGAAAGUUGCAGAUCUCACUGGGCUGUCUGGAGAAGGGAGAAGGGCACAGGAUUUCGUCUGUACCUUGGCACCUAGAAUCAGGCGAUUGGACGAAAGAGCUCAAGCAAGGGCGAAGCAAGCACCAGUUAUUCCUUUCAGUUGGAUUUAUGACCGCAAGGUGCAGCUUUAAUCGAGAACACUAGGCAAUGUGGGCACUUACUAUAUCAUUUUCAGUCCUGGGGUUCUCUAUAAGAAACAGUCUUUAGGUUAUUUAGCAGGGUAAAAUUCGACUACUUAU
rnacentral:lncRNA from 1 species